rnacentral:rRNA from 1 species
UACGUAGGUGGCAAGCGUUAUCCGGAUUUAUUGGGUGUAAAGGGCGUGUAGGCGGGAAUGCAAGUCAGAUGUGAAAACUCAGGGCUCAACCCUGAGCCUGCAUUUGAAACUGUGUUUCUUGAGUGCUGGAGAGGCAAUCGGAAUUCCGUGUGUAGCGGUGAAAUGCGUAGAUAUACGGAGGAACACCAGUGGCGAAGGCGGAUUGCUGGACAGUGACUGACGCUGAGGCGCGAAAGCGUGGGGAGCAAACAGG